UUCAUGAGAGACACAGAGGGAGAUGUAGAGACAUAGGCAGAGGGAGAAGCAGGCUUCAUGCAGGGAGCCCGAUGUAGGACUCGAUCCCAGAUCCCGGGAUUAUGCCCCAAGCCAAAGGCAGAUGCUCAACCACUGAGUCACCCAGGCAUCCCAACAUUCCAUACUUUAAACAUUUUUACUCAUUAAGACAGGGUUUCUACAAAUAAGUCCUGGGAAUAUAAUGUACAUAUGGUGACCGUAGUUAACAACACUGUAUUGUACAUUUGGCAGUUACUAAGAGAGUAGAUCUUAAAAGUUCUCAUCACAAGAAAAAACAAAUUUGUAACUGUGUGUGGUGAUGGACACUAAAUUUAUUGUGGAAAUCAUUUUGCAAUAUAUAUAUUUGAAUCAUAAUGUUGCACAUUUAAAACUAAUAUGUUAUAUGUCAAUAAUAUUUCAAUUAAAAAAGGAAAAAGACUGUUUCUCCUCAGGACUGAGCCAAUUACAGUAUUCAAAAAUAGUGAGGGUUUUUUUUCCCCUUUCUGAAAUAUAUUUACAUAUAUAUGAUAACUAUAUAUACAUACUUAUCCUAAAAUGAGUUAAUGUAUUCCUUUUUAUUUUUAAUCAAACUUCUCUUUAAUGAGAACUCAACUAGAAAAAGAUUUUAUCAUUCUAUGAUUCUUUAUCUAGUUGACUAAUCAUCCAGAGUUGAAAACAAAAUAGCAAAACAACCACUUUGUCUCUUUGCCCAAAUCUUGGCUUCAGGAGCUAAAUUUCUGGCUGGGAUUUAAGUCUAUGUUUUAUUCCUAAGCAUUCAACAUUUAUUACCUGGGAGACUUCUUUGUCAACAGCACACAUAUUAAACCAGUUACUGGAAGUAUGUUAAGAUUACAUAUGUUAAUUUACAUUUGACAAACUUGCCUCUCCAGUGCCUGCUGGGACAUAAGCUAAGUGUACAGCCUGGUUGUAUUUAUCAAAACUCACAUAAACAGAAAAGCCAAAUCCCCCACACACAGCAUAAAAACAUGAGCUACAUGCUAUAGUGAGGGUUCCUGAGGAAAAUGGCAGCUUCCAAGAAAAAAAAAAUAUUCUAGGGUAGGUCACAAUCUUUGAUCAGUCACAUAUUUUUCACCUUGUUGUCUUUCUCCAGAGAAGUCAAAGAAUCCCCUAGGAAGAACAUAAUGGGGGCACCUGGGUGGCUCAUUCAGUUAAGGGCCAACUCUUGAUUUCAGCUCAGGUCAUGAUCACAGGGUCCUAGGAUCAAGCCCCAUGCUGGGCUCUGCCCUUAGUGGGGAGUCUACCUGAGAUUCUCCCUCUCUCUCUCCCUUUGCCACUCCUCCUCGUACCCUCUCUCUUUCUCUCUCUCUCUUUCUCAAAUAAAUAAAUACAUCUUCAAACAAAAAUGAACAUAAUAAGCAGAAAUAUAGGUAACUACAAUUGAUGUAUGCUUGAUAGUUAAAGAAAAAUUAUACUACUUGCUGAUACAGUUCUGAAUGUAUGUAGAGGAAAUAUUUAAGACAUCUUUAUUAUAAAUAAGAAAAAAAGACACCAAAAGGGAGUUAAGAUUUUUACAUUAUCUGCAAAACUGGUAAAAUGAUGACACCAGGAGAUUUGAUAAGAUGGGGGGGGCAUGCACAUGUAUCUGUAAAUGUGUGUGCAUAUAAGUGUGUGUCCAUGUGAGUAUGUGUGGUGUAAUACUUAAAGUAACCACUAGAAACACUCUACAGAGAAAAAUACUCAAAAACACAAUAGGUUUGGUGUUAACAUCAAAAUGGAAUUCUAUAAAAUGUUCAAGUAAACCACAGGAGGACAGGAAAAAGAAAAAUUCUAACAGAGGAAAAACAGAAAGCAAAAAGAUAAAUGGUAGAUUUAAACCUUACUGUAGCAAUAAUUACAUUAAAUGCAAAUAGGACCAAAAGUUAAAGGUUGAAAGCAACAAGGUGGGAAAAGAUAUGUCACACAAACAUUAAUCAAAAGAAAGCAAAGAAGACUAUAUUAAGACCAGAUAAAAUUGACCUCAGAGCAAAGAAAAUCACCAAAGACAGAGAGGGACAUCACACAAUAACAAAAGGAUCAACUCACCAGUAAAACAAAGCAAUCCAGACAGCCCCAGUGGCUUAGCGGUUUAGCGCCACCUUGAGCCUGGGGUGUGAUCCUGGAGACCUGGGAUCCAGUCCCACGUCGGGCUCCCUGUGUGGAGACAGCUUCUCCCUCUGCCUGUGUCUCUGCCUCUGUGUGUGUGUGUGUGUGUGUGUGUGUGUGUGUGUGUGUGUGUGUCUCGAAUGAAUGAAUGAAUGAAUGGACAAAGCAAUCCUAAAUGUAAGUGCACCAAACCACAGAGCUGCAAAGUAUGUACAGUAAAAACUGAUGGAAUUGAAAGAGGAAAUAAUUGCACAAGUGUAGCUGCAAACUGCAACAUCCCCUCAAACGCUAAUAAAUAGUACAACUAGACAGAGAAUCAGAAGGAUGUAAAAGAAAUCAACAACAUCUAACCAGCAUUUGUAGAACACUCUACCCAAUAGCAGCAGAAUACUCAAGUAUCCACAGAACAUAGAACAAGAUAGACCACAUUCUUGUGGUCUCAAUAAAUUUAAAAGAAUUAAAAUAUUAAAAUCUUACAUAAUAUGUUAUGUGACUAAAAUGGAAUAAAACCAAAAAUCAAAAAAAAAUUAUUAACAAAGAUAACAGGAAAAUCUCCAAACACUUGGAAACUAAUGAACACACUUCUAAAUAAUUCAUAGGUCAAAGAGAAAGGCUCAGAUAAUGCCACUUUCCGACCUCCAUGUGAUGCCCCCGCUUUGUUCUCCUAACACCUUUCCCAUACAUACUUUCUCCAUCAUGACACUUAUCACACCUUUCCGUAAUUGCUCAUUUACCUAUCUGUUUUUUCCCCAUUAAGCCAUAGGUCCCUUGAGAACAACUGGUCUACUUUGCUAACCUUUAUUUCCAUAAUCCUAGCACAGUGUCUAGAACACACAAUCAAUAUAGUUUUUUCACAGAAUAUAUUAAAGAAAGUGAAGUAUCAAGAAAUUCAAGCCCAGAUGGUCAUUAUUCUAGGACUCAGCAUCCCCUCUGUUUCAUAUUCUGGCUUAUGCAACCUUACAGCAACCCCAUGUGUGCACCAUUGCCUAUAUUCCCAACCUCUGCACUUUUUCAUUGGGCCUCCCUGUUCACUGUCAUGUCAGCUUUGAGAAAACGGUGCCCAUAUUACCUGACCUGCUGGAUCAGCUUCAGAAAGGACUUCUGGAUGUCAGGAUUUCAAAAACCAUGAGAAAAGUCACACAAAAAAGUACUUUUCCUUGGGUGAUGCUCAAAAUUCCUUUAGAUGGGGAUCAAAGAUAUAGUUUCUCAACUAGAGACAAGUCAAAAUGCAAAUAUCUUUUAAAUUUACACUACAGAAGUCAAAAAUUAUAAACCCCAAGCUCUAAUUAAUCAUUGAUUAAAAUUAAACUUCUGGGGAUCUAAUGUACAGGCCAGUGACUACAGUUAACAAUUAUUGAGUUUAAAAAAAAAAAACAAUUAUUGAGUUUUAUAUAUUCAAAAGUUGCUGAAAGAGUAAAUAUUUUCACACACACACACACACACACACAAAAUGGUAAUUAUGUGACUGAUGGAAGUGUUAACUAGUUUUAUAGUGGUAAUCACUUCCCAACAUAGAGCUAUACCAAAUCAUCACAUUGUACACCUUACAUUUGCACAAGAUUAUAUGUCAAUUACACUUCAACAAAGCUGGAGGAAGAAAUUAAAACAAUUUUUUUCUAAGAAAUUCAGAAACCACCAGUUUUUUGACAGAGUUUUAUGAGAUUGAAAAGAUUUGAACUCUUCACAUGAAACUUUGACAAUAUUCUGCACAGAGCAAAUUACAGCUUGUUAUAUAGAUAACAGAGGAACUAGAAAAUAUUUGCCAGUCAGCUAAGUUAAAGCCACAAAGAAUACAAACAUAAGAUAGGUUGAAGGGUAGAAUGCUUUUUUUUUUUUUUUUGUCAGAUUUGUACUUUUUCUGUACUUUGCAAUCACAAAAUUUAGUAGUUUUACAUAAAGGUCUCUUGCAGUAUUUUUUAUAUAAUGGGUAUUAUAGUCUAACCUUGAGACUA
rnacentral:lncRNA from 1 species